rnacentral:rRNA from 1 species
UAGUGGCGGACGGGUGAGUAACGCGUGGGUAACCUGCCUUAUACAGGGGGAUAACAGUCAGAAAUGACUGCUAAUACCGCAUAAGCGCACAGAGCUGCAUGGCUCGGUGUGAAAAACUCCGGUGGUAUAAGAUGGACCCGCGUUGGAUUAGCUAGUUGGCAGGGUAACGGCCUACCAAAGCAACGAUCAGUAGCCGAUCUGAGAGGAUGUACGGCCACAUUGGGACUGAGACACGGCCCAGACUCCUACGGGAGGCAGCAGUGGGGAAUAUUGCACAAUGGAGGAAACUCUGAUGCAGCGACGCCGCGUGAGUGAAGAAGUAUUUCGGUAUGUAAAGCUCUAUCAGCAGGGAAGAAAAUGACGGUACCUGACUAAGAAGCACCGGCUAAAUACGUGCCAGCAGCCGCGGUAAUACGUAUGGUGCAAGCGUUAUCCGGAUUUACUGGGUGUAAAGGGAGCGUAGGUGGCAAGGCAAGCCAGAAGUGAAAACCCGGGGCUCAACCGCGGGAUUGCUUUUGGAACUGUCAUGCUGGAGUGCAGGAGGGGUGAGCGGAAUUCCUAGUGUAGCGGUGAAAUGCGUAGAUAUUAGGAGGAACACCGGAGGCGAAGGCGGCUCACUGGACUGUAACUGACACUGAGGCUCGAAAGCGUGGGGAGCAAACAGGAUUAGAUACCCUGGUAGUCCACGCGGUAAACGAUGAAUACCAAAAUGUCGGGUAGCAUAGCUUUUCGGGGUCCUCCCCAAACCCCAAUAAGUAUUCCACCUGGGGAGUACGUUUGCAAGGAAUGAAACUCAAAGGAAUUGACGGGGACCCGCCCAAGCGGAGGAACAUGUGGUUUAAUUCGAUGAUACGCGAGGAAUCUUACCCGGGCUUAAAUUGCAGAUGAAUUACGGUGAAAGCCGUAAGCCGCAAGGCAUCUGUGAAGGUGCUGCAUGGUUGUCGUCAGCUCGUGCCGUGAGGUGUCGGCUUAAGUGCCAUAACGAGCGCAACCCUUGUUGUCAGUUACUAACAGGUCAUGCUGAGGACUCUGACAAGACUGCCAUCGUAAGAUGUGAGGAAGGUGGGGAUGACGUCAAAUCAGCACGGCCCUUACGUCCGGGGCUACACACGUGUUACAAUGGGGGGUACAGAGGGCCGCUACCACGCGAGUGGAUGCCAAUCCCAAAAACCUCUCUCAGUUCGGACUGGAGUCUGCAACCCGACUCCACGAAGCUGGAUUCGCUAGUAAUCGCGCAUCAGCCACGGCGCGGUGGAUACGUUCCCGGGCCUUGCACACACCGCCCGUCA